CUGGCGGCGUGCCUAACACAUGCAAGUCGAACGGAGCUGAGGAGCUUGCUUCUCAGCUUAGUGGCGGACGGGUGAGUAACGCGUGAGUAACCUGCCUCCGAGAGUGGAAUAACGUUUUGAAAAGAACGCUAAUACCGCAUAAUAUUAUGAAGUCGCAUGGCUUUAUAAUCAAAGAUUAUAUCGCUCGGAGAUGGACUCGCGUCCGAUUAGUUAGUUGGUGAGGUAACGGCUCACCAAGACCGCGAUCGGUAGCCGGACUGAGAGGUUGAACGGCCACAUUGGGACUGAGACACGGCCCAGACUCCUACGGGAGGCAGCAGUGGGGGAUAUUGCGCAAUGGGGGCAACCCUGACGCAGCAACGCCGCGUGAAGGAUGAAGGUUUUCGGAUUGUAAACUUCUUUUAUCAGGGACGAAAUUUGACGGUACCUGAAGAAUAAGCUCCGGCUAACUACGUGCCAGCAGCCGC
rnacentral:rRNA from 1 species